GACCGUUAUCCGAUGCCUCUUCACACACAGUUGCACAGACGACAGUUUAAUGGCGCUUUGUAAUGGGAGCUCCUCUGUAUCUCUAUCCCAUGAAAAUGGCUAACGGUGAUAAGGGAAGGAAGAAAUGAAGAGUCUGCAAGGCCCCUGCCCACCUGCUCCUGAGAACACGCUCGCCACCUGCGGGCAUCGCCUUUGCUCCCUGUAGCCUCCAGGAGAUCUCUGACCCACCAGGGGCAGGGGAGGGCAUUGGUGGGGGGCUGGGGGCAUACAAGGGGAGGCCGGGGCUGGGCCCAGGGGUGGCCGCCGGCCCCUUCUUCUGUUUCUGGGGUGGGAGGGCUUUGGCAGGGCCCUUUUGGGGUGUGUGGCCUCUCCCCAGCUCCCCGUGGCGGCCAGCAGCCCUCGGUGAUCCUUGGCCUGAGAAAGCACCGCCCUGACCUCGGCCUUCAUCUUCGCACGGCCUCUCCCUGCGUGCCUGUCUCCAGAUCCCCUUUCCAUAAGGGCGCCUCGUGCUGGGGUGAGGCCCGGCCUCCUGACCGCCCCUUAACCUGAUUUUCUCUGUAAAGACUCUGUCUCCAAACAAGUCACAUUCUGAGGUGCUGGGGGCUGGGAUGUCAACACCUUCCUGAGCUGCACACAUUGACCUAGGACAAAUGGCAUUUUCAAAUUAAAAAAAACUUUAAUUUUGAGUAAAUUUUACAAAAAACUUUUAAAUAUACUAUGGAGAGUUCCCGUAGCUCCCUCACCUCCCGCAGGACAGCACUGCACCGAAGCAGGGUCCGCUGAUGGGCCUGGGGUCAGCGCCAUCCACAGAAUGGGAGUUGCCGGGGCUCCCACUGAGGUCCUACUCCGGGACCCCAGGCUGCGUCGAGGGGUCACCUUUGUGGGACCCCAGCCUGGAGGAUGUGCUGACGCCACUGUGUAGACAAAC
rnacentral:lncRNA from 10 species